GACGAACGCUGGCGGCGUGCUUAACACAUGCAAGUCGAACGAUGAUCCGGGUGCUUGCACCUGGGGAUUAGCGGCGAACGGGUGAGUAACACGUGAGUAACCUGCCCUGGACUCUGGGAUAACCCCGAGAAAUCGGAGCUAAUACCGGAUAGGACCUUUCCUCGCAUGAGGUGGGGUGGAAAGUUUUUUCGGUUUGGGAUGGACUCGCGGCCUAUCAGCUUGUUGGUGAGGUAAUGGCUCACCAAGGCGUCGACGGGUAGCCGGCCUGAGAGGGUGGCCGGCCACACGGGGACUGAGACACGGCCCAGACUCCUACGGGAGGCAGCAGUGGGGAAUAUUGCACAAUGGGCGCAAGCCUGAUGCAGCAACGCCGCGUGCGGGAUGACGGCCUUCGGGUUGUAAACCGCUUUUAGUAGGGAAGAAGCCUCUUGGGGUGACGGUACCUGCAGAAAAAGGACCGGCUAACUACGUGCCAGCCGCCGCCGUAA
rnacentral:rRNA from 1 species